AGGUACCGCUCUAACUUCGCGCUCCCACCACUCGGUACAAGUGGCGUGCGCGUAU
rnacentral:ncRNA from 1 species